GACGAACGCUGGCGGCGCGCUUAACACAUGCAAGUCGAGCGAUGAAAUUUCGACAGAUCCCUUCGGGGUGAAGAUGAAAUGGAUUAGCGGCGGACGGGUGAGUAACACGUGAGUAACCUGCCUUUGACAUUGGGAUAGCCUCGGGAAACUGGGAUUAAUACCAAAUGACACUAACUGAUCACAUGAUCAAUUAGUCAAAGAAAUUCGGUCAAAGAUGGACUCGCGGCUGAUUAGCUAGUUGGUGGGGUAACGGCCCACCAAGGCGACGAUCAGUAGCCGGCCUGAGAGGGUGAUCGGCCACAUUGGAACUGAGACACGGUCCAAACUCCUACGGGAGGCAGCAGUGGGGAAUAUUGCACAAUGGGGGAAACCCUGAUGCAGCGACGCCGCGUGAGAGAAGAAGGCCUUCGGGUCGUAAAGCUCUUUUAUGAGGGAAGAUAAUGACGGUACCUCAAGAAAAAGCCCCGGCUAACUACGUG
rnacentral:rRNA from 1 species